GUGGGGAAUAUUGGACAAUGGGCGAAAGCCUGAUCCAGCCAUGCCGCGUGUGUGAAGAAGGUCUUCGGAUUGUAAAGCACUUUAAGUUGGGAGGAAGGGUAGUAACCUAAUACGUUGCUACUUUGACGUUACCGACAGAAUAAGCACCGGCUAACUUCGUGCCAGCAGCCGCGGUAAUACGAAGGGUGCAAGCGUUAAUCGGAAUUACUGGGCGUAAAGCGCGCGUAGGUGGUUCAGUAAGUUGGAAGUGAAAUCCCCGGGCUCAACCUGGGAACUGCUUUCGAAACUGCUGAGCUAGAGUACGGUAGAGGGUGGUGGAAUUUCCUGUGUAGCGGUGAAAUGCGUAGAUAUAGGAAGGAACACCAGUGGCGAAGGCGACCACCUGGACUGAUACUGACACUGAGGUGCGAAAGCGUGGGGAGCAAACAGGAUUAGAUACCCGGGUAGUCC
rnacentral:rRNA from 1 species